AUCGGUCUAAUUAUCUCAUUAAAACAUUUUUUUCGAAUUUUUACCCUUUUUUGGUCUGAGGUAUAUCGGAUGUAAAGCAAGGAAAAAUUGAGGACGGUUUUCUGAAAGAGCGACCC